GCCUAGCUGACUCAGUCAGUAGAGCAUGCGACUGUUGAUCUCAGGGUUGUGAGUUCAAGCCCCACAUUGGGCC
rnacentral:tRNA from 1 species